GUCCACGCUGUAAACGAUGGGCACUAGGUGUCCGGGUAUUGACCCCUGGGUGCCGCAGCUAACGCAUUAAGUGCCCCGCCUGGGGAGUACGGUCGCAAGAUUAAACUCAAAGGAAUUGACGGGGCCCGCACAAGCGGUGGAGCAUGUGGUUCAAUUUCGACGCAACGCGAAGAACCUUACCUGGACUAGACAACAGUGGAUCGUCCUAGAAUAGGAUUUUCCCUUCGGGGACCGCUGGUUCAGGUGCUGCAUGGCUGUCGU
rnacentral:rRNA from 1 species